UGAAAAUCUUAUUUUCCAAUUUCUCAAAUCUCAAGGACAAGUUCUUCAGUUCGUAGCAAAACAAAAAUCAGAGCUUAUCUCUGAUCAAUAUAUAUUAUAGGCAACGAAUCUGAAACUAAUAAUAGCAACUCAGACAUACUACUCUCUUAACAUAAAUCUUGUUCUUGGUGGUGGUUUCAAAUUCAAAUCCAUGGAUAAUGAGUCAGAGAGACUUAACAAGUCAGCACCAGAAACGGAGGAGGAAGAAGAGUUCAAGUCAACCUUGCGUUCAGCUCCAUCAUUUGAGAUAUACAACACCUCCCAUGGAGAGUUUGGAGAAGAUGAAACCUACCCUGGAGUGGUUUUGUUGAAGAGAAGGGAGAGCCAUGGCAGUGCUGAAUUCACCUUUGGUGGUGGUGGCAGAAAGAGGAUGGAAUUGAUUGAAGAAGAUGCAGAGAAUGAGAGAAUUGGUGAAAAAGAGAAAGAAGAUGAUGAUGACGAUGAUGUUGUUGAUCUUGAACCACCAAGCCCACCCAUGUAUCUUGCAGCAGGGCUUGGUGUUGAUGCAACUGGCUUUGAUGCUAAUGCUGUGGUUGGGUUUGAAAACUCUCUCACUCAUGAUGAUGCGCUUGUUCCGAAUUUGCAGGAGUCUGAGGAUCUUGAAGGCUAUUACAAGAGGAUGGUUGAUGAGUAUCCUUACCACCCUUUGAUUCUCAAGAAGCAUGCCCAGAUUCUGAAAUCUAAGGGAAAUCUUGAAGAGGCUGCUGAGUACUUUUAUCGCGCAACACUAGCAGAACCUAAUGAUGGUGAAGCCCUAAUGGAAUAUGCAAAGCUUUUAUGGGAACAUCAUCAUGACAAGGAUAGGGCAGUGGUCUAUUUUGAACGUGCAGUUCAAGCUGCUCCUAAAGACAGUCAUGUCCUUGCAGCAUAUACUAGUUUUCUCUGGGAGACAGAUGACGAUGACAAUGAUGUUGGAAAUGAUCAAACUCAGAGUGAUAAGGAAAAACUAAAGACUGAGCCUGUCAAGCCUUCCAAUGAAGGAAGUUACCAAAUUCGUCCAUUCGUGCAUAUUUCAACAGGACAAGAGAUUGAUAUAGCAGAUAUUAACACAGUUGAUUGGAGCGGGGAUAGUGAUGUGGCAGAUUAUUUAAGAACGUUGGUUGAGGAGAAUCCUAAUAAUCUAUUGGUUCUGAAAAAGUAUGCUCAGUUUCUAUUUCAGUCCAAAGAUCCAGAAGCAGCCGAGGAUUUCUACUCGCGUGCAGUCUUAGCCGAUCCCAGUGAUGGUGAAAUGAUAUCGGAAUAUGCUAGGCUUGUGUGGGAACUUCAUCAUGAUCAGGAAAAGGCUUCAUCUUUGUUUGAGCAAGCAGUUCAAGCUACACCUGGGAAUAGCAAUGUUCUUGCAGCAUAUACUUGCUUUUUGUGGGAACUAGAAGAUGGAGAAAGCUGAUGUAGUUCAAGGUAGUGGUGAUAUUCCAGAGAUCUUUUUGACAGAAAAUCCCAUACCUGUUGACAAAUAUUCAAGAGAAGGUGCUAACCAUGCUUGAGAAGUGUUUCGGACCCUGCCCUGGUUAGUUGAUGCACCUUAUUUACUUCAAGCUAUUAGAACUGAUCAUGGCUUCACAUGACUGAUGAGUGCAAGAAUAAAUGAAAUAAAGCCGAAGACUUAACAAA